rnacentral:miRNA from 1 species
CGUGGGCUUCACGACACUGGG